rnacentral:snRNA from 13 species
GAUUUCCCGUAUAAACUAAAUUUUGGAACCGCUCCUUCGGGGUUAUCCGGAGGGGCAAA